CAGAACAUGCUGUUGAAGCUUGAAAGCCCAAAGUGGGGUGACCUUGGUGCUUGGUGUGCUUGGACAACCAAUGAAUACAGCACAGCUCAAGGGUUCCACCUGAGGGAGAAAAAAACACUGGAAAAGACAACCUGUUAUUUUAAAAUCAGCAUUGAGGAGUUCCUACUGUGUGCAUCUGGCGUUAGAGCAGAAACACUGCAAAGAGCAACCCAAGAUGAAGGCAGAUCCAUCCAAUGAAGAAGUCACUCAAGAAACAGUUGUGGGAAGCACUGAAAAAACCAGAAUUUACAGGCAGGAAUGUUGGCAUAUCCUUUGAAAAGAAGAAAAAGUGUUUCCAGAGGAGAAAGGAAGCAAGGUACCAGAAAUAUGAAGAGAAACCUCACAGCUUCAAGUCCAAAUGAGAUAUUCCUCAAAAAUGACUUCUGUCCUGAUUAAUUUGCUAAAAAUAGAUCAACAUCUUCCAGUAAAAACUCUCUAUUAAAAAGAUGCUGGCCAGCAAAAGUAUCACAACUUGUGCCUGUGCAUGGCUUCCUGUUUUCCAAAGGCCUCCACAAAACCUUCUGCUUUGUUUCCUACAGGACUUAUUCCAUGCAUGUUUUAGAUGCAUUUUUCCAUGGGUAGAAGAAGCUGGGACACACCCUCAAUGGGGAAACACUAGGCCUGUUCAUUGCCAUCUGAUUUCAAAAGGCUUUCCAGCCCUGAUGGGCUGGUGGGAUUUUUCCUGGGUGGUGGUGUUAG